rnacentral:rRNA from 1 species
AUGGAGAUCACGAGCAGCACGAUGGUGAAGCCGGCGUACGCUGUGCCGCACCCGCUCACCGGCGACAAGGUCUCGCUGACCGUCUUCGACCGCGCCGCUGUGGACACCUUCGUCCCCACUGUGCUCGCCUACCGCGCGCCGGCGCCGUCCAACGAUGCGCUCAGGGAGGGGCUCCUCAAGGCCGUCGCGGCGUACCCUCACCUGGCAGGCCGCUUCGCCCUCGACGAUCAAGGCCGGCGGUUCCUCGACGUCAACAACGAGGGCGUGCUCCUGAUCGAGGCUGCCGUCCCGGUCGACCUGGCGGACGUGCUCGUCGCCGCUUAUACGUUUUUUUUUUUUGCCUAUGCAGGUGAACAUUGGGGCGGCGCUGCUGCAGUGCAGAUCCAGCUCAACAGGUACAGGUGCGGCGGUCUCGUGGUCGGCAUAUGCUCCCACCAUCAAGCCGCCGACGGCCACUCCAUGAGCAUGUUUUUCACCGCGUGGGCGUCCGCUGUACGCGAGCGAAAGGACUUCACCACGCCGGCCCCAUUCCUCGAUCGUGCGAGAACCACCGUGCCUCGAAGCACGCCGACGCCGGUGUUCGACCACCGGUCACGGGAGUUCACGUGUGGAGACGGGGACACCUAUGCCGUCGUCCCCAUGGACAGGAUCAAAAACCUCACGGUGCACUUCACGGCCGAGUUCGUCGCCGACCUCAAAGCCCGUGUCGGCGCCCGCUGCAGCAGGUUCCAGUGCCUGCUCGCCCACGUCUGGAAGAAAAUCACGGCGGCGCGGGACCUGAAGCCGGAGGAGUUCACCAAGGUGAGGGUGGCCGUCCGCGACGUCCUGAACUCGAGCUACGGCAGCGUGGUCGGCGUCAUCCGCGACGCCGUGGCGCGCAUCGACGACGAGUACGUGCAGUCCUUCGUGGACUUCGGCUGA